rnacentral:rRNA from 1 species
GACGAACGCUGGCGGCGUGCUUAACACAUGCAAGUCGAACGGAAAGGCCCUGCUUUUGUGGGGUGCUCGAGUGGCGAACGGGUGAGUAACACGUGAGUAACCUGCCCUUGACUUUGGGAUAACUUCAGGAAACUGGGGCUAAUACCGGAUAGGAGCUCCUGCUGCAUGGUGGGGGUUGGAAAGUUUCGGCGGUUGGGGAUGGACUCGCGGCUUAUCAGCUUGUUGGUGGGGUAGUGGCUUACCAAGGCUUUGACGGGUAGCCGGCCUGAGAGGGUGACCGGCCACAUUGGGACCGAGAUACGGCCGAGACUCCGACGGGAGGCAGCAGUGGGGAAUCCUGCACAAUGGGCGGAAGCCUGAUGCAGCAACGCCGCGUGCGGGAUGACGGCCUUCGGGUUGUAAACCGCUUUCGCCUGUGACGAAGCGUGAGUGACGGUAAUGGGUAAAGAAGCACCGGCUAACUACGUG